UGUUCUGUGGCGGAGUUGGUUAACGCGCCCUGUCUUGUGAACUUGGGAGACGUGGGUUCAAAUCCCACCAGAACUA
rfam:Aedes albopictus isolate Foshan contig142539, whole genome shotgun sequence.